GACGAACGCUGGCGGCGUGCUUAACACAUGCAAGUCGAACGAUGAACUUGGAGCUUGCUCUGGGGGAUUAGUGGCGAACGGGUGAGUAGCACGUGAGUAACCUGCCCUGGACUCUGGGAUAACUUCGAGAAAUCGGAGCUAAUACCGGAUAGGACCUUGCACCGCAUGGUGUGGGGUGGAAAGUUUUUCGGUUUGGGAUGGACUCGCGGCCUAUCAGCUUGUUGGUGAGGUAAUGGCUCACCAAGGCGUCGACGGGUAGCCGGCCUGAGAGGGUGACCGGCCACACUGGGACUGAGACACGGCCCAGACUCCUACGGGAGGCAGCAGUGGGGAAUAUUGCACAAUGGGCGCAAGCCUGAUGCAGCAACGCCGCGUGCGGGAUGACGGCCUUCGGGUUGUAAACCUCUUUUAGCAGGGAAGAAGCGAAAGUGACGGUACCUGCAGAAAAAGCACCGGCUAACUACGUGCCAGCCGCCGCAGUAACAC
rnacentral:rRNA from 1 species